AGUGAACGCUGGCGGCGUGCCUAAUACAUGUAAGUCGAACGAAGUGGCUCACGGGUGAGUAAUAUAUAGUUAAUCUGCUCUACACAGAGGAACAACAGUUGGAAACGACUGCUAAUACCUCCUAUUGCAGGAUGAGACUCUAUCGUAUCAGCUAGUUGUUAAGGUAAUGGAUUACCAAGGCGAUGACGCGUAACAGGUCUGAGAGGAUGAUGAGUAGACUUCGAAGGGAGGCACGAGCGGGAAACCUACGGCAAGCAGCAAAAAGGUAUAUUACGCAAUGGGGGAGUCGCAGGAAGGGCUACGCCGCGUGAAGGACGACAGUUAGCGGAGCAUAAAUACCUUUUAACAGGAAGGCGGUACCUGAUGAAUAAGCACCGGCUAACUACGUGCCAGCAGCCGCGGUAAUUC
rnacentral:rRNA from 1 species